rnacentral:rRNA from 1 species
CCUACGGGAGGCAGCAGUGAGGAAUUUUGGUCAAUGGGCGCGCGCCUGCACCAGCCAAGUCGCGUGAAGGAUGACUGCCCUACGGGUUGUAAACUUCUUUUAUAAAGGAAUACAGUGAGGAACGUGUGCCUUUUUGUCUGUACUUUAUGAUUAAGGAUCGGCUAACUCCGUGCCAGCAGCCGCGGUAAUACGGAGGAUCCGAGCGUUAUCCGGAUUUAUUGGGUGUAAAGGGAGAGUAGAUGGGUUGUUAAGUCAGUUAUGAAAGUUUGCGGCUCAACCGUAAAAUUGCAAUUGAUACUGGCAGACUUGAGUACAGUUGAGGUAAGCGGAAUUCGUGGUGUAGCGGUGAAAUGCGUAGAUAUCACGAAGAACUCCGAUUGCGAAGGCAGCUUACUAAACUGCCACUGACAUUGAGGCUCGAAAGUGUGGGUAGCAAACAGGAUUAGAUACCCUAGUAGUC